rnacentral:rRNA from 1 species
AUGCAGUCGACGAGACCUUCGGGUCUAGUGGCGCACGGGUGCGUAACGCGUGGGAAUCUGCCCCUUGGUUCGGAAUAACAGUUAGAAAUGACUGCUAAUACCGGAUGAUGACUUCGGUCCAAAGAUUUAUCGCCAAGGGAUGAGCCCGCGUAAGAUUAGGUAGUUGGUGGGGUAAAGGCCUACCAAGCCGACGAUCUUUAGCUGGUCUGAGAGGAUGAUCAGCCACACUGGGACUGAGACACGGCCCAGACUCCUACGGGAGGCAGCAGUGGGGAAUAUUGGACAAUGGGCGAAAGCCUGAUCCAGCAAUGCCGCGUGAGUGAUGAAGGCCUUAGGGUUGUAAAGCUCUUUUACCAGGGAUGAUAAUGACAGUACCUGGAGAAUAAGCUCCGGCUAACUCCGUGCCAGCAGCCGCGGUAAUACGGAGGGAGCUAGCGUUGUUCGGAAUUACUGGGCGUAAAGCGUGCGUAGGCGGUUAUUCAAGUCAGAGGUGAAAGCCCGGGGCUCAACCCCGGAACUGCCUUUGAAACUAGGUAGCUAGAAUCUUGGAGAGGUCAGUGGAAUUCCGAGUGUAGAGGUGAAAUUCGUAGAUAUUCGGAAGAACACCAGUGGCGAAGGCGACUGACUGGACAAGCAUUGACGCUGAGGCACGAAAGCGUGGGGAGCAAGCAGGAUUAGAUACCCUGGUAGUCCACGCCGUAAACGAUGAUAACUAGCUGUCCGGACACUUGGUGUUUGGGUGGCGCAGCUAACGCAUUAAGCAUCCCGCCUGGGGAGUACGGUCGCAAGAUUAAAACUCAA